GCUAUUUAGGCGGAUUGGAGCGCAUUAGGGUUAGAAUCUAAUUUGGGCCGAAGGUCAAAUAGUG
rnacentral:tRNA from 1 species